UGUUCUUUUAAGUUGCAGAUCUUGAUAACAGUUCUGUUUUCAUCUCUUCUCCUUAAUGCAAUGCUUUUAUCUUCAAUAUGUUACUAAAUUUUUCCAUGUCUUUUUUCCCCAUUGUUUUCUCUCUCAUCAUGAAUGCAACCGUCCAAAUGAGACACAAAGGCCUCCAAACACAACCAUAGCGACAGACAGAGAUGCCGCUCAGAGCGGAAAAAGAAAGUUGCGUCCGGUGAUAAGGUGUACCUGGAUUUGUGAGGCAAUAAAGGACAGGUCACAAACAACAGGAACUGCAGCAGGGGGAGUGAAAGGUAAACAGGAGUCAGGAGUCAGGAGACAGUGAGUGAUGAACACAAGAAAACAAACAUGUUGGCAAGCCUUACGGUCUUCAAGCCACCAGCAUCUGAUUUCAUGCACAAGGUUUACUCAUCUGUUCUCACACUCGUUCAUUUCAUGGGACUGUCGUAUAACUCAAGAGGAUAGAUGUCUGCAUGCAGCGGACAGAAGGGUUCUACCUGAAAGACUUCAUUUUGCUCGGAGAGAUCAUGUUUUAAGGCCCGUGAGUUUUGCCAGCCUGAGGCUUGAGCACCUGCACGCAGUGACCUCAGGGUGAGAGGUUUGAUUGACAGCAGCCCCGGCGGGAGUGUCAUCCAUCAGAAGGACAAAACACGCACUGAUAUAGCCGUCAUUCCACAGCCGUCUCCUUCAUUCACAGUAAAGUCAAAAAGUAAAGGUAUUUGGCAGGUGGAGAGAAUUUGAUAUAGUGCUUAAAUCAUCUGAACCUGUGGCUGGACAUGAUGAGGUGCUGAUUGCCCACAGCCAGACGCCAAACAGCUCGAGCAGUCAGAGGGACUUUCAUGAAGAGCAGGACAACAUUUCAAGUGAGGGAAAAUGGUCGAGUGGUAAGGAGGAGCAAAAGAGAGAGAGGGCAGCAGUA